GGCCGCAGUAUAUUAACUGUGCAAAGGUAGCAUAAUCAUUAGUCUUUUAAUUGAAGGCUGGUAUGAAUGGUUGGACAAGAUAUUAACUGUUUCAUAUAAAUUUAAAAUAGAAUUUUAUUUUUUAGUUAAAAAGCUAAAAUUUGUUUAAAAGACGAGAAGACCCUAUAAAUCUUUAUAUUUAAUUUAUUAUAGUUUUUUAGAAAAUUUUUAUUAUUAUAAUUGAAAAAUAUUUUAUUGGGGUGAUAUUAAAAUUUAAUAAACUUUUAAUUUUUUUUUCAUUAAUUUAUGAUAUAUUGAUCCGUUUUUAACGAUUAAAAAAAUAAGUUACUUUAGGGAUAACAGCGUAAUUUUUUUGGAGAGUUCAUAUUAAUAAAAAAGAUUGCGACCUCGAUGUUGGAUU
rnacentral:rRNA from 1 species